UAUGCGAAAAACAAACCUUAGCUAGCAGUAUCCUGAGUAGGGCGGGACACGAGGAAUCCUGUCUGAAUCCGGGUCGACCACGAUCCAACCCUAAAUACUAAUACCAGAUCGAUAGUGUACAAGUACCGUGAGGGAAAGGUGAAAAGAACUGAGGUGAUCAGAGUGAAAUAGAACCUGAAACCAUUUGCUUACAAUCAUUCAGAGCCCUAUGUAGCAAUACAGGGUGAUGGACUGCCUUUUGCAUAAUGAGCCUGCGAGUUGUGGUGUCUGGCAAGGUUAAGCAAACGCGAAGCCGUAGCGAAAGCGAGUCUGAAUAGGGCGCUUAGUCAGAUGCUGCAGACCCGAAACGAAGUGAUCUAUCCAUGAGCAAGUUGAAGCUAGUGUAAGAACUAGUGGAGGACUGAACCCAUAGGCGUUGAAAAGCCCCGGGAUGACUUGUGGAUAGGGGUGAAAGGCCAAUCAAACUUCGUGAUAGCUGGUUCUCUCCGAAAUAUAUUUAGGUAUAGCGUUGUGUCGUAAUAUAAGGGGGUAGAGCACUGAAUGGGCUAGGGCAUACACCAAUGUACCAAACCCUAUCAAACUCCGAAUACCUUAUAUGUAAUCACAGCAGUCAGGCGGCGAGUGAUAAAAUCCGUCGUCAAGAGGGAAACAACCCAGACUACCAGCUAAGGUCCCUAAAUCUUACUUAAGUGGAAAACGAUGUGAAGUUACUUAAACAACCAGGAGGUUGGCUUAGAAGCAGCCAUCCUUUAAAGAAAGCGUAAUAGCUCACUGGUCUAGUGAUUUUGCGCGGAAAAUAUAACGGGGCUAAAGUAAGUACCGAAGCUGUAGACUUGCACACAACUUAGAUUAUUUAAGUUUAGAAUAUAAAAAACUAAGUUAUAUGUUUUAAGUUAUAUUUUUACUGAUUUUUAUAGGGUAAAGAUAGAAAUAAAACUUAGUAAAAUCAGUAAAAAUAUUCUUAGGCUAAAGUUAAGUAGUUUAAGUUGUGUGCAAGUGGUAGGAGAGCGUUCUAUU
rnacentral:rRNA from 1 species